AAUAGCUCAAAUUUGAAAGCUGGCGUCUUCGACGUCCGCGUUGUAAUUUGUAGAGGAUGCUUCGGCGAAGACUCCUGCCUAAGUCCCCUGGAACGGGGCGUCAUAGAGGGUGAGAAUCCCGUAUGUGGCGGGCAGUCUAAGCCAUGUGAAGCUCCUUCGACGAGUCGAGUUGUUUGGGAAUGCAGCUCUAAAUGGGAGGUAAAUUUCUUCUAAAGCUAAAUAUUGGCCAGAGACCGAUAGCGCACAAGUAGAGUGAUCGAAAGAUGAAAAGCACUUUGGAAAGAGAGUUAAAAAGUACGUGAAAUUGUUGAAAGGGAAGCGCUUGCAACCAGACUCGCUCGUAGUUGCUCAGCCGGCCUCUUGGCCGGUGUACUCUUCUACGAUCGGGCCAGCAUCAGUUCGGGCGGCAGGAUAAAGGUGUCGGGAAUGUAGCACCCUUCGGGGUGUGUUAUAGCCCGGCGCGGAAUGCUGCCAGCCUGGACUGAGGAUCUCGCUUCGGCAAGGAUGCUGGCGUAAUGGUUGUAAGCGGCCCGUCUUGAAACACGGACCAAGGAGUCUAACAUCUAUGCGAGUGUUUGGGUGUCAAACCCAUGCGCGUAAUGAAAGUGAACGGAGGUGGGAACCCCUCACGGGGUGCACCAUCGACCGAUCCUGAUGUCUUCGGAUGGAUUUGAGUAAGAGCAUAGCUGUUGGGACCCGAAAGAUGGUGAACUAUGCCUGAAUAGGGUGAAGCCAGAGGAAACUCU
rnacentral:rRNA from 1 species